UAAAUUAUAAUGUUAGUUAAUGUUGAAUAAUUAUUAAUAAUUUUAAUUUGGUAGUGAAAUGUUAAUCGAUUUUAAAGAUAUCUAGUUUUUUUAGAAAUAAAUUUAAUUUAUAAUUUAAUUUAAUUUUUAUUGAUAUGUAUAAUUUAUUUUAUAAAAAUAUUAAAUUAAAUGAUUUAAGGGAUAAACUUUAAAUAUUUUAAUAAUUUAUUAAAAAAUAUUAAUUGUAAAAAUAUUUAUAGUAAUAGAAAUUUUUAAAAAGUAUUUUAUAAUUUAUAAAAUUAAAUUUUAUAAUAAUUUUAAUUUGAAUUUUAAAUUUUUAUAAGAAAAAUGAAUUUAAUAUUAAAUUUUAUGUUAAAAUGAUAAAAUUAGUAAAUAUAUAAUUAUAAUUAAUAGUAUUUAAAUAUUUUUUUAAAAAAAAAUUAAUAUUAAAGAAUUUGACAAAAGUAAUUAUCCACCUGUUUAACAAAAACAUGGUUUAUAGAUUAUAAUUAUAAAUCUGUUUCUGCCCAAUGAAUUAUAUUGAAUUUUAAUGGCUGCAGUAAAUUGACUGUACAAAGGUAGCAAAAUCAAUUGUUUUUUAAUUGAAAACUAGAAUGAAAGAAUUGAUGAGAUAAUAAUUGUUUCAGUAUUAAAAGUUGAAUUUAAGUUUUAAGUUAAAAUGCUUAAAUUUUUUUAUAAGACAAGAAGACCCUAUAGAAUUUAAUAAUUUUUUUUUUAAUUUUAUUAUUUGUAAAUUAAUUUAAUUAAAAUAAUUAUAUUUAAUUGGGAGGAUGAUAAAAUUAA
rnacentral:rRNA from 1 species